CAGUCGCCACGGGAAUACGGAGGGGGCUAGCGUUGUUCGGAAUUACUGGGCGUAAAGCGCACGUAGGCGGCUUGGUAAGUUAGAGGUGAAAGCCUGGAGCUCAACUCCGGAAUUGCCUUUAAGACUGCCGAGCUAGCAGGUGAGAGAGGUAAGUGGAAUUCCGAGUGUAGAGGUGAAAUUCGUAGAUAUUCGGAAGAACACCAGUGGCGAAGGCGGCUUACUGGCUCAUACUGGACGCUGAGGUGCGAAAGCGUGGGGAGCAAACAGGAUUAGAUACCCCUGUAGUCCCUGUCUCUUAUAA
rnacentral:rRNA from 1 species